AAGAUUUUAAGUUAUUCAAACUAAUAAUUUUCAAAAUUAUAAAUAAAAAAAUUUUUUUAAGUCUUA
rnacentral:tRNA from 1 species